rnacentral:pre_miRNA from 1 species
CGCCCGCGGGGGUUCCUGGUGAUGGGAUUUUUUUAUCGUUUGGCCCAAAAUCACAUUGCCAGGGAUUUCCAACGGGCG